ensembl:lncRNA
CCCAGAGGGAAAUUUCCAAAGAGGAAAUAAGAGAAACUAUGGAAAGAACCAGGUGUCAAAUAAUAACCAAGAUCCUUUGUUUCUGGCCUCUGCUACUUGUCCAAAUGACAUUGUACAUUACUUUUUACACUUCCUCCUUAACAUCUUUGUAAGAGCAACAUAACCAAACCAUCUAAUUUUAUUCAGGGGAUGAGGGUGACUACAUUGAGCUUUCCUCGACAAACUGCAGAACUGAAACAUGCUCAUUUGCCAUCCUUGGUGACGUUUGGAAGAGGGUGUUAGGAAGAAAAUGAAAUGGUUUGGAGAAGUUGAUUCACUAAGAUGUAGGAUGUCACAUUAUUUUCAAAGAGAAGUGCCAGUGUAAACAAAUAUUCUAUGUGAAAUACAGAAUUUAUUGAGAAUAUUACAAGAAAAUUGUUUAAAAAAUAAAGAUCAGUUCACUCAGGAGUUUUAAAGAAGUUUGUGAAACCCUGAACAAAGAAUAUAUAAAUCUUGUGAAGCAUGUGGAAACUUGAUUGCUUACCCAAAGAAGAGUUCUCAAUAGGGUAUUUGAGCUGAAAGGUAAGUUGAAGAAAUCAUUUGCUAGGAAACUAUUGCUCAGGUUGUGUUGAGUGCUUUAAAGAUGAGUCAUGGCUACAAAAACUAAAGUAUCUCUCAGACAUUUUUGAUCCCCUGAAAUUACUGAGUAGGAAUCCACUCUGCACUGUGCACUGUAGUUUUUGUUUGUUUGUUUGUUUGUUUUUGCCUUUGAGUGACAAUAGCCCUGGUUUUCUGGUUUUUAAAGAAAAGUUAUUUGGAAAAAUCUUCAGAAAAUCUGUGGAAAAAUCAUUUUGCAACAGGAAAUGUUGAAAUGUUUCCACAACUUCUUGGACUUGGGAUGGAGAAAGAAAAUCAUAAUAUCUUGUCUUACUACAAACGACCUGAAAGGACUUCAGAUCAAAAUUGAAGAGUCAUUUACUCCCUUUUCAAUACAACUGCAUGGCUGGGUCUGGAUUUCUAUGAAAAAGGGUGUCCUAGCAAUGAACAUUUUGCUGUAGUUUUCCACAUUUUAUGUAGGUGAGUGAGCUAUUAUUUUGCUUAGCAAGCAUCAAGAGCAAAACAGAAAUCACUGCAUUUCAGUAGCAAAUGAAAUCUGUGUGUGUUUAAUUCAAAUUUGACCCCGGUAGGAAGCACAGAUUUUACACUAAAGAGAUACAUUUAAUAUUUAUUUUUGGUUUCAAAGCUAACCACUUAAUUAACACAUAGGCCUCUAAACAGCUACAUAUGUAUAGAGUUAUUUUAUAACUGCUAGAUAUCUAUUUGAGCUUGAAAACAUCAGUUAGUAUGAAAACAUUGUUUUAAAUGUGUUUUAAUUAAAAUUCAUUUAGUUUUUGUUUUAGUAGCUCUAUUAUCCAACAUGUUAAAAAUAUGCUGCAAAUAGAAAUCAUUGAUGUCAAUUUGCAACUUGUUUAUAUUAAUUCCACUAAGUCUAUCUUUCAAAAAUGAAUCUCAUUUUUGCUUAAGCUAUUGAAAUAAAAUAUAUUUUUGCCUUUUGAAUUUAUAAAGUUUAUGAAAAGAAAAGGAAUAAGUUAUUUUUCAAGGACCAAUUAAGUAUGAGAGCCUGUGUUUUUGUUUUCCUGAAUAAUUCACUAAAACCUUUUUGCUUGCUUGUUUCUUUGUUUGUUUGUUUUAAAUAGGACAUAUGCAGCCAGAUGCUGUGGCUCAGGCCUGUAAUCCCAGUAUUUUGGGAGCCAAAGUGGGAAGAUCACCUGAGGUCAGGCAUCCAAGAUCAGCCUGGCCAACAUGGUGAAACUCCGUCUCCACUAAAAAUACAAAAAAAAAAAAAUCAGCUGGGCAUGGUGGCAGGCACCUGUAAUCCCAGUUACUUGGGAGGCUGAGACAGUUGAACUGCUUGAACACAGAAGGCAGAGGUUUCAGUGAGCCGAGAUUACUCCAUUGCACUCCAUCCUGGGCAUUAAGAGCAAAACUGUCUAAAAAACAAAUUUAAAUAGGACAUACUCCAUACCUUGUAUCUUUAGUAACUUUUCAAAUUCGAGCCUACAUGAAUAAGAAAAUAAAUAAAUAAUUUAUUUUAAAACAACAAAAACUAAAAAAGUAAAAAUGUGACGUUUCCUUUGACUACAAUGGUAACUCUCACUGGAGGAGAGGUCCAAGAUGAGGAUGGGGAAUAACGCAAACAAGGUAGGUCAACACAUUGACCAACAUAAAUAGAUACACAGAUAAAAAUAUGUUUUCUUUACAAAAGCACAUUGACAAUUGCUAAAUGAUUACAAUCUCCACGAUUUAUUGAUCAUGGUAAUGUGAUAAUUCUAUCCAGGGUCUAAAAAAUAUUUAUUUCUUUUUACUUUUUUAUUUCUGUGUCUGUGUGACGGAGUCUUACUCU